ACUGACCGUUAGCGCCACUCCCACCGCCACUUGUCCUCCGUAGCUCUGGAGUCCUGGCCUGCCGGUUGCUAACUGGGCCACUUUACAGAGGCGGAAGCAAGCUCAGGGAGGGUAAACAGGAAGGGUAACUAAUUUUCCUGGGAUUACACAGUCGGUAAAUAAUGGAGGCAGCAUCGACCCCAGGCAGUCUGGCCCCAGACACCACACUUUUACCCAAUUCCCACAGCUGCCUGGAAAAUAAAUAGAAAUCAAAUAGAUGUUAACAAGGACCUUUGGGAGUUGUCCGGCGUUUGGGCAACGGGUUGCUUUUCUGUUUCAUGUUAGUCCACCGCCCUCACGUGGCCCCGUCCUGAACUUCACCCUUGUUUGGUCCCAAACUGUAAAGACCCUCACCGUGCUGGGAAACACAGCCCUGCUGGCCUCGGACUGCAGGACAGAAUCCUUACCCCUCCUGGGCCUCCGUUGUGUUCUUUCCAAAAUGGGAUAAUGGUAGCAGGUUAAUGGAAAUAAUUAAAUAAAAUAGUCCAUCUAAAUUCCUGGAUCGAACGAGGGGUCCAAUAAACAUUAGCUGUGCUGUUGUAGUGCUCAGUGCCUCUCUCUCAAAAGGGGGUGGCAACAGACACCCUCAUACCUUUGCUGUAAUGAGAGCACUGCAAAGCCAACUGCAAAUAUUAGGAAUCGGUGUCCAUCACGAGGCCAACCCCUUUCCAAGGCUGCUUGGAAAAUCCUUUGCUAGACUAGCUUGGAUCUUGCUGGCUUGACUCAGAUCACAGUUGAGCAAAUGUGCAGAAGAGGAAGAGAUGAGGGAAGGCCUGGCUCAGUGUGCUCAGAGCUUCGAUUUUGAGACUGUUCGGGAGGAAAAGUUCCUCACCAGACAGUGCUCCGCUACUCUUAAAGCUAGAAGGACAGAAAGAUUUCUCCACAGUUGGGGUCAUGGAAAUGUGUAUUUUCUCCAAACCUUUUUUCACUGGACCAGUUGUUGGAGCCUUCCAUUUGAGACCUUGUGAUGCCUUCAUGGACAUUAUUUCUGCUCAUCCACACAGCCAGCAGGGACUUGUGCAGCAGGAGGGGCAGGCUCAGAGUUAAGCAGCUGCUCCAACCUCACACGGCUAGCCUGGGCCUGAUCUGGAGCUUGUCCCAGAUCUGAAGCUUCCCAGGUUUGGACCUGGGUCACUAGAGCAGAGCCUCCUUGCCUCUUCGUGGAUAUGGAGCCAAUUCACUGUGGCCGAUCACCAGCCUCACAGACUAAGGGGGCAGCCCUGCCCCUGCCUACACCCCUACCACUGCUGAAGCCAUCUCCUUGCCGACAAACACAAGCAGAAACUUCUCAGGAUCUGCUGCCUCUUGUUCCAAGGAUUAGGCGAGCUUCUGUCUUGAGACAGAAGAGGCAGCUGGAAGAUCAGGGUUGUGGUUGAAGAAGGCCUAGGUAAGGUGCCAUGACUCAAAUGUCCCUCAUGGGUGAGGGCCUUCAACUUUUGGAAACUGCAGGGGCAAUUUUGGAGACAAUGUUUAACUAUAGUGUAAAGACUGCCAGUUUAAUUUCUAAUCCUGAAGAAAUGUAUAUGUGGUCACAGGCUAAUAUUUCUAAAAGUCAUCGAGUGACUUUACGUGUCCUAGUCCCAUAUUUCCCCAAAGAUGACUGUCUAAAUGCCCCUAAGAGAGGCUUUGGAGUUCUUUGACUUCUCUGAAUUGUUGUAGUAAAGAUAAGGCAGAAAUUUUGAAGAGAUCAGAAAGAAAAACUUUAGAACAAAUCUCGUCUUUUCUAGAACUGUCUUCAUUUUAAUUUACUGUCAUAUCAGAUAACAUGCCAGAUGGCUUUUACUGUGUCUGACUUGAGUCAGACCAGCUGGGAUGGGAUCCUGCCUCCAGCAGUUGUGGGCCCCAGGAACAUUUAUUUCAUCUCAGUAUCAAGCAUUCCCAAAGCAGCAGGGGCUAACGGGGCCGUAGAGAUUACCCCUGCAGCUGUGGGGCUGGCCAGCCACACUUCCAUAGAUUUGUCUGUAGGGAGACAUUGAGCCACAUGGAUUCGGACAGGUUGUUACAUACGCAGACAGCAAAAGCAAAAUCAGCAUGACAUGUCGCUCCUUGUGUCCCUCGUCCCACAGGAGGACACAAGGCUGGAAGGUUGGGACACCAGAUGGCAUGGACAGUGGGUUGCCCUGCUGUGCAGCAGCCAGCUCUCAACUGCAACCGAGCACUCUACAGACUUAGCAGGCACCUGCAGACGUAACUUGUGGGAGUGGGGAGAGAGGAGGAAAGCGCUGCGCUCAACAGAAACUAGGGAGAUCGAUGAGAAAUGGCCUUGCAGCAGUUCCGAAAGGGUGGGGAGGCAGGUGAGACCGCUCACGGCAGCGAUGCACAGGGCCACUUAACGCCCCUUGCUCCAUGAGGAGUUGCAGGGUGUUCCACCAAGACGCAGGUCAGGUUGCCGUCGAGCCCGGUGGAGAUGUGCAGGGUUGCUGGGCACCUGGCAGAGCUGGUCCCUGACACGCACUUUUAUCAUCAGUAAAAUGGGGAUGUUAAGAAUACCUACCGCAGAGUUAUGCAACCGUCGCCAUUAUCUAAUUCGAGAACCUCUUCAACACUCCAGAAAGAAACCCAGUGCACACGAGCUGCCACUCCCCACUCUCUCCUUGCCCAACCCCUGGCAACCACUAAUCCACUUUCUGUGUCCAUGGAUUUGCCUGUUCUGGGAAUUUCAUUUAAAUGGAAUCAUAUACUCUGUGGCGUUUUGCGACUGACUUUUUUCACUUACUAUGUUUGCAAAGUUCAUCCAAGUUGCAGCAUGCGUCAGUACAUCAUUCUUUUUUAUGGCCGCAUAAUAGUCCAUUGUGUAGAUCAUGUUUGUUUAACCUUUCAUCAGUGAAUGGACAUUUGGGUUGUUUCCUCUUUUCAGUUAUUAUGAAUGAUGCUGUUCUGAGCAUGAAUGUAGGAGGUUUUGUGUGAACAUAUGUUUUCAAUUCUCUUGGAUAUACCUGGGAGUAGAAUUGCUGGGUCACGUGGUAAUUCUAUGUUUAAUGUUUUGAGGAACUGCCAAAUUGUUUUCCACAGGGACUGAGUAUUUUAUAUUGGUAUGCACUUUUGAAAUAAUAAAAAACACUCUUAACAGA
rnacentral:lncRNA from 1 species